rnacentral:rRNA from 1 species
GACGAACGCUGGCGGCGUGCUUAACACAUGCAAGUCGAACGGAAAGGCCCUGCUUUGGUGGGGUUCUCGAGUGGCGAACGGGUGAGUAACACGUGAGUAACCUUCCCUUGACUUUGGGAUAACUUCAGGAAACUGGGGCUAAUACCGGAUAGGAGCUCCGGCUGCAUGGUGGGGGUUGGAAAGUUUCGGCGGUUGGGGAUGGACUCGCGGCUUAUCAGCUUGUUGGUGGGGUAGUGGCUUACCAAGGCUUUGACGGGUAGCCGGCCUGAGAGGGUGACCGGACACAUUGGGACUGAGAUACGGCCCAGACUCCUACGGGAGGCAGCAGUGGGGAAUAUUGCACAGUGGGCGGAAGCCUGAUGAAGCAACGCCGCGUGCGGGAUGAAGGCCUUCGGGUUGUAAACCGCUUUAGCCUGUGACGAAGCGUGAGUGACGGUAAUGGGUAAAGAAGCACCGGCUAACUACGUG